rnacentral:rRNA from 1 species
CCUGGCUUAGGAUGAACGCUAGCGACAGGCCUAACACAUGCAAGUCGAGGGGCAGCACAAGGAGCAAUCUGAGGUGGCGACCGGCGCACGGGUGAGUAACACGUAUGCAACCUGCCUGUAAGCGGGGAAUAACCCGUUGAAAGGCGGACUAAUACCGCAUAAUAACUAAAUUACUGCAUGGUAAUCUAUUUAAACAUUUAUGGCUUACAGAUGGGCAUGCGCAUGAUUAGCUAGUUGGAGAGGUAACGGCUCCCCAAGGCAACGACCAUUAGGGGUUCUGAGAGGAAGGUCCCCCCACACUGGUACUGAGACACGGACCAGACUCCUACGGGAGGCAGCAGUGAGGAAUAUUGGUCAAUGGACGAGAGUCUGAACCAGCCAAGUCGCGUGCAGGAAGAAUGUCCUAUGGAUUGUAAACUGCUUUUGCAGGGGAAUAAAGUGCAUCACGUGUGAUGUUUUGUAUGUACUCUGCGAAUAAGGAUCGGCUAACUCCGUGCCAGCCGCCGC